rnacentral:rRNA from 1 species
GACAGAGGGUGCAAACGUUGUUCGGAAUUACUGGGCGUAAAGCGCGUGUAGGCGGCUGGGAAAGUCGGAUGUGAAAGCCCUGGGCUUAACCUAGGAAGUGCAUUCGAAACUGCCCGGCUUGAGUUCUGGAGAGGAAGGCGGAAUUCUCGGUGUAGAGGUGAAAUUCGUAGAUAUCGAGAGGAACACCGGUGGCGAAGGCGGCCUUCUGGACAGUGACUGACGCUGAGACGCGAAAGCGUGGGGAGCAAACAGG